AGUGAACGCUGGCGGUAGGCCUAACACAUGCAAGUCGAACGGCAGCACAGGAGAGCUUGCUCUCUGGGUGGCGAGUGGCGGACGGGUGAGGAAUACAUCGGAAUCUACUUUUUCGUGGGGGAUAACGUAGGGAAACUUACGCUAAUACCGCAUACGACCUACGGGUGAAAGCAGGGGAUCUUCGGACCUUGCGCGAUUGAAUGAGCCGAUGUCGGAUUAGCUAGUUGGCGGGGUAAAGGCCCACCAAGGCGAAGAUCCGUAGCUGGUCUGAGAUGAUGAUCAGCAGCACUGGAAACAGGACACGGUCCAGACUCCUACGGGAGGCAGCAGUGGGGAAUAUUGGACAAGGGGCGCAAGCCUGAUCCAGCCAUACCGCGUGGGUGAAGAAGGCCUUCGGGUUGUAAAGCCCUUUUGUUGGGAAAGAAAUCCAGCUGGUUAAUACCCGGUUGGGAUGACGGUACCCAAAGAAUAAGCACCGGCUAACUUCGUGCCAGCCGCCGCGGUAA
rnacentral:rRNA from 1 species